GAGGGAGGACAGUGCAUAGAUGAAAAACCGUAAUGGGUUGGAGCCUGGAAAGGGAAGAACUUCGACGUGGGACAGAGAAAAGAGGGUAGAGGAGGGAGGUCUAUGUGGGACAAAAAGAAUCAUCGAGUUUAAAAACUACAAUGUAGUAAAAGAAUGAACUGAAGACAGGAAGACAAAUCACAGUAAGGAUCAUCGGGUUCAGGAGAAAGACUGAACAGGACAUCCAGACGCUAAAGGAGGACAGAGGAUAAACGGAAAACCAUAAUGGGUUCAAACGUGGAAAAGGAAAACAGUUUAACAAGGGACAGAGAGAUGAGUGUAGAGGAGGAAGGACAGUGCAUAGAUGAAAAACCAUAAUGAGUUCAAGCCUGGGAAGGGAAGAACUUCGAUGUGGGACAGAGAAAAGAGGGUAGAGGAGGGAGGUCUAUGUGGGACAAAAAGAAUCAUCGAGUUUAAAAACUACAAUGUAGUAAAAGAAUGAACUGAAGACAGGAAGACAAAUCACAGUAAAGAUCAUCGGGUUCAGGAGAAAGACUGAACAGGACAUCCAGACGCUAAAGGAGGACAGAGGAUAAAUGAAAAACCAUAAUGGGUUCAAACGUGGAAAAAGGAAAACAGUUUAACGAGGGACAGACAGAUGAGUGUAGAGGAGGGAGGACAGUGCAUAGAUGAAAAACCAUAAUGGGUUCAAGCCUGGGAAGGGAAGAAAUUCGACGUGGGACCGAGAAAAGAGGGUAGAGGAGGGAGGUCUACGUGGGACAAAAAGAAUCUACAAUGUAGUACAAGAAUGAAAUGAAGACAGGAAGACAUAUCACAGUAAAGAUCAUCGGGUUCAGGAGAAAGACUGAACAAGACAUCCAGACACUAAAGAAAGAAAGAGCAUAAAUGAAAAACCAUAAUGGGUUCAAACGUGGAAAAGGAAAACAGUUUAAUGAGGGACAGAGAGAUGAGUGUAGAGGAGGGAGGACAGUGCAUAGAUGAAAAACCAUAAUGAGUUGGAGCCUGGGAAGGGAAGAACUUCGACGUGGGACAGAGAAAAGAGGGUAGAGGAGGCAGGUCUACGUGGGACAAAAAGAAUCAUCGAGUUUAAAAAGUAAAAUGUAGUAAAAGAAUGAAA